rnacentral:rRNA from 1 species
UUAAGCAUAUCAAUAAGCGGAGGAAAAGAAACCAACAGGGAUUGCCCUAGUAACGGCGAGUGAAGCGGCAACAGCUCAAAUUUGAAAUCUGGCUUCGGCCCGAGUUGUAAUUUGCAGAGGAAGCUUUAGGCGCGGCACUUUCUGAGUCCCCUGGAACGGGGCGCCAUAGAGGGUGAGAGCCCCGUAUAGUUAGAUGCCUAGCCUGUGUAAAGCUCCUUCGACGAGUCGAGUAGUUUGGGAAUGCUGCUCAAAAUGGGAGGUAAAUUUCUUCUAAAGCUAAAUACCGGCCAGAGACCGAUAGCGCACAAGUAGAGUGAUCGAAAGAUGAAAAGCACUUUGAAAAGAGGGUUAAAUAGCACGUGAAAUUGUUGAAAGGGAAGCGCUUGUGACCAGACUUGCGCCGGGCAGAUCAUCCGGUGUUCUCACCGGUGCACUCUGCCCGGCUCAGGCCAGCAUCGGUUCUCGCGGGGGGAUAAAGGCCCUGGGAACGUAGCUCCUCCGGGAGUGUUAUAGCCCGGGGCGUAAUGCCCUCGCGGGGACCGAGGUUCGCGCAUCUGCAAGGAUGCUGGCGUAAUGGUCAUCAGCGACCCGUCUUGAAACACGGACCAAGGAGUCAAGGUUUUGCGCGAGUGUUUGGGUGUAAAACCCGCACGCGUAAUGAAAGUGAACGUAGGUGAGAGCUUCGGCGCAUCAUCGACCGAUCCUGAUGUUUUCGGAUGGAUUUGAGUAGGAGCGUUAAGCCUUGGACCCGAAAGAUGGUGAACUAUGCUUGGAUAGGGUGAAGCCAGAGGAAACUCUGGUGGAGGCUCGCAGCGGUUCUGACGUGCAAAUCGAUCGUCAAAUCUGAGCAUGGGGGCGAAAGACUAAUCGAACCAUCUAGUAGCUGGUUACCGCCGAAGU